UAGGGAAUAUUGCACAAUGGAGGAAACUCUGAUGCAGCGACGCCGCGUGAGUGAUGAAGGACUUCGGUUCGUAAAGCUCUGUCGCAUGGGAAUAAUAAAUGAAGGUACCAUGCAAGAAAGGAUCGGCUAACUUCGUGCCAGCAGCCGCGGUAAGACGAGGGAUCCUAGCGUUGUUCGGAAUCAUUGGGCGUAAAGCGGGUGUAGGUGGCUCUGCAAGUCAAGUGUGAAAGCCCCGGGCUUAACCUGGGAAGUGCAUUUGAUACUGCUGAGCUUGAGUGCUGGAGAGGUCAUUAGAAUUCCUGGUGUAGUGGUGAAAUACGUAGAUAUCAGGAGGAAUACCGGAGGCGAAGGCGGAUGGCUGGCCAGACACUGACACUCAGACCCGAAAGCGUGGGGAUCA
rnacentral:rRNA from 1 species